UACGGGAGGCAGCAGUGGGGAAUAUUGCACAAUGGGCGCAAGCCUGAUGCAGCCAUGCCGCGUGUAUGAAAAAGGCCUUCGGGUUGUAAAGUACUUUCAGUCGUGAGGAAGGUGUUAAGGUUAAUAACCUUAGCAAUUGACGUUAGCGACAGAAGAAGCACCGGCUAACUCCGUGCCAGCAGCCGCGGUAAUACGGAGGGUGCGAGCGUUAAUCGGAAUUACUGGGCGUAAAGGGCACGCAGGCGGUUAAUUAAGUUGGAUGUGAAAUCCCCGGGCUUAACCUGGGAAUGGCAUUCAAGCUGGUUAGCUAGAGUCUUGUAGAGGGGGUAGAAUUCCAUGUGUAGCGGUGAAAUGCGUAGAGAUGUGGAGGAAUACCGGUGGCGAAGGCGGCCCCUGGACAAAGGCUGACGCUCAUGUGCGAAAGCGUGGGGAGCAAACG
rnacentral:rRNA from 1 species